rnacentral:rRNA from 1 species
AUUGAACGCUGGCGGCAUGCCUUACACAUGCAAGUCGAACGGUAACAGGUCUUCGGAUGCUGACGAGUGGCGCACGGGUGCGUAAUACAUCGGAACGUGCCCGAUCGUGGGGGAUAACGAGGCGAAAGCUUUGCUAAUACCGCAUACGAUCUACGGAUGAAAGCGGGGGAUCUUCGGACCUCGCGCGGACGGAGCGGCCGAUGGCAGAUUAGGUAGUUGGUGGGAUAAAAGCUUACCAAGCCGACGAUCUGUAGCUGGUCUGAGAGGAUGAUCAGCCACACUGGGACUGAGACACGGCCCAGACUCCUACGGGAGGCAGCAGUGGGGAAUUUUGGACAAUGGGCGAAAGCCUGAUCCAGCCAUGCCGCGUGCAGGAUGAAGGCCUUUGGGUUGUAAACUGCUUUUGUACGGAACGAAAAGCCUCUUUCUAAUAAAGAGGGGUCAUGACGGUACCGUAAGAAUAAGCACCGGCUAACUACGUG